AGUACUUAGGAACAACAAUAUCACUGGUACAAUUCCAUCGAAUAACGGAGAGCUCCAACAGUUACAAAAACUAGAUUUGAGCUUUAACAAGUUAAAUGGACAGAUUCCAGACUCUCUUUUCAACAUUAGCUCACUCUCUUAUCUGUAAUACAUCUUUAGUUUUCUCUCUUGGGUUAACAUGCUUGUACCAUUUGGUUAACUCUUUCUGUCUAAAAAAAACUGUCAUUUUUUUUGGCAGUGACUUGGUUGGCAACAACUUUACAAUGAAUGGCUCAAACAACAUGUAAUUUUCCUCA